rnacentral:rRNA from 1 species
GUGCCAGCAGCCGCGGUAAUACAGAGACUGCAAGCGUUAUUCGGAUUCACUGGGCGUAAAGGGUGCGCAGGCGGCCGUGUGUGUUGGGCGUGAAAGCCCGGGGCUUAACCCCGGAAUUGCGCCCAAAACUACAUGGCUAGAGCAUUGGAGAGGGUAGCAGAAUUCAUGGUGUAGCAGUGAAAUGCGUAGAUAUCAUGAGGAAUACCAGAGGCGAAGGCGGCUACCUGGACAAUUGCUGACGCUCAGGCACGAAAGCGUGGGGAGCAAAAGGGAUUAGAUACCCCCGUAGUCC